AGGGCGUAGUGGCGUACCUGUUCUGUCUCGAAAGGAAGAACCCCGAUGAUCCGUCCCUGUCGUCGUGAAGUAGCGUCUGCGAUGCUCUGCUGUCUUCGUGAGGUUGAGGAAAAGCGGUUGUGCUGAGGGAGUGGUGUGGCUGCAUUAGGAGACGACACUCAAGUAUCACAUGUCCCUUCUUCUUACAGUAAUUGCACACAUUCGUCUUCUUGCAAUGAGACUGUAUAUGCCCCAUUUCUCCACAAAAUCUGCACUGAAUUGUUCCAUUUUCCCUAGUCAUUUUCUUCAUUGGUGGUCUACUAUAAAAAGCAAAAAAGAUAGUACCAACAUUAUUAGUUUUUGCAUCUAAA